GACGAACGCUGGCGGCGUGCUUAACACAUGCAAGUCGAACGGACCUUCGGGUUAGUGGCGAACGGGUGAGUAACACGUGGGUGAUCUGCCCUGCACUUUGGGAUAAGCCUGGGAAACUGGGUCUAAUACCGGAUAGGACUACGCACUGCAUGGUGUGUGGUGGAAAGCUUUUGCGGUGUGGGAUGGGCCCGCGGCCUAUCAGCUUGUUGGUGGGGUGAUGGCCUACCAAGGCGACGACGGGUAGCCGGACUGAGAGGGUGACCGGCCACACUGGGACUGAGAUACGGCCCAGACUCCUACGGGAGGCAGCAGUGGGGAAUAUUGCACAAUGGGCGCAAGCCUGAUGCAGCGACGCCGCGUGAGGGAUGACGGCCUUCGGGUUGUAAACCUCUUUCGCCAGGGACGAAGCGCAAGUGACGGUACCUGGAGAAGAAGGACCGGCCAACUACGUGCCAGCCGCCGCCGUAACAC
rnacentral:rRNA from 1 species